GGGGUUUUGGGUUUUUAUAAAGUGAAGACUUUUUUCUUUCUUUCUGCUAUAAACCAUUAACAUUUUGUAACAGCCUUUCCUCGCAACCAUUCCAGUUCUGUGCAUUUCCUAGUUUUUUAAAAUUUACUUUCUCUGAACAGAAUCUUUGCAGGUUCACUUUGAACCUGAAGCAGCCACUUCACCUCCUGCUUCUGCUGCUGCCCCCGCUCCUCCUUGUGAUGACUCUUUUCGGCGUCACAUUGAACCCGAAGCAGACGGUACACAUCCUGCUCCUGCUCCUCAUGAAUCUUUUUGGCGUCGUAUUGGACACCAUCUAGCCAAAACACCUCCUGCUCAUGCUCGUGACAGUGAUGAAUCUGUUGGGCCUCGCUUUGUGCCCAAAGGAGCUGCUGCACCUCAUGGUCCUGAAAACGAUGAUAUUUUUCGGGUUAGCGUUGCACCCCAAGCAGCCGUUACACCUCCUACUCCUGUGACUCCUCCUGAUGAUAUUUUUCAACCUCGUGUUUCACCCCAUGCAAGUGUUAUACCUCCUGCUCCUGCUACUCAUGCUCCUACUCCGGUUCCUGAUGCCCAAGCAAGUGUUACACCUCCUGCUCCUGCUACUCCUGCUCCUACUCUGGCUCCUGAUGGUGAGUCUGCUUUUCAAGCAAUUAGAGUCACUUGGAUGUGAGUUCAGAACCAGCAUCUCCUUACUGCAGAGAUUCUGUAGAUAAAUACAACACUCUGUUGUAAAUAUAAUGCAGCAAAAAAAAAUGCUAUCAUAAAUGUUGUGAGACUUGUUUCAGAUGAGAAAAGAGAUGAUUAAAGUUAACACAGGGAUUAAUAUUACUGCUGCAAUUUUUUUCCAUUUAUCCUUAUUGCUUGAAUAUUUUUGGUUUUAGUUUGGGUUUGGUUAAAGGAAUUUUUUAGUUUCAGGAAGUGGCAGUAGGUCAGUGAGUGG
rnacentral:lncRNA from 1 species